GGGCACCACCAGGGGCUGCUGCUGCGACUUAUUUGACUCAACUCGGGGAAUCUCACCAGGCCCGGACACCAGAAGGAUUGACAGAUUAACAGCUCUUUCUUGAUUCGGUGGGUGGUGGUGCAUGGCCGUUCUUAGUUGGUGGAGCGAUUUGUCUGGUUAAUUCCGGUAACGAACGAGACUCUAGCCUGCUAAAUAGGCGUCCCCAUUUUGGUGUGCUCGAGUUCGGUCGUGCAACUCACUGGCGACGUAUUAAAAUUCUUCUUAGAGGGACCGGCGGCUUCGACCCGCACGAGUUUGAGCAAUAACGGGUCUGUGAUGCCCUUAGAUGACCUGGGCCGCACGCGCGCUACACUGAAGGAAUCA
rnacentral:rRNA from 1 species